rnacentral:lncRNA from 1 species
CUCCCACUGACCCUUUUGAAACCCAUAAUUUCUCAUAUCUGAUCAAACAAUUUGAUCAUAUAAUUGAAAUGAAUGUUCAAACUCCAAGGGUAUUGUGGUCUUUGUGAUCAUUUCUAGAUUCUCUAUCUCCUAUGAGAAAUAAUUUUCUCUACAUCCUCUGUUAAGCAUACUCAAGUACCUUUUGAGAGGAUUGGAUAUACUACUAUGUGUAUGAGGUG